rnacentral:rRNA from 1 species
AUUGAACGCUGGCGGCAUGCCUUACACAUGCAAGUCGAACGGUAACAGGUCUUCGGAUGCUGACGAGUGGCGAACGGGUGAGUAAUACAUCGGAACGUGCCUAGUAGUGGGGGAUAACUACUCGAAAGAGUGGCUAAUACCGCAUGAGAUCUACGGAUGAAAGCAGGGGAUAGCAAGACCUUGUGCUACUAGAGCGGCCGGUGGCAGAUUAGGUAGUUGGUGGGAUAAAAGCUUACCAAGCCGACGAGCUGUAGCUGGUCUGAGAGGACGAUCAGCCACACUGGGACUGAGAAACGGCCCAGACUCCUACGGGAGGCAGCAGUGGGGAAUUUUGGACAAUGGGCGCAAGCCUGAUCCAGCAAUGCCGCGUGCAGGAUGAAGGCCUUCGGGUUGUAAACUGCUUUUGUACGGAACGAAAAGCCCCGGGUUAAUACCCUGGGGUCAUGACGGUACCGUAAGAAUAAGCACCGGCUAACGACGUGCCAGCAGCCGCGGUAA